ACGGCAAGUGAGCGGCACAGCUCAAUUUGAAAUCUGGCUCUCGGGCCCGAGUUGUAAUUUGUAGAGGAUGCUUUUGGUGAGGUGCCUUCCGAGUUCCCUGGAACGGGACGCCAUAGAGGGUGAGAGCCCCGUCUGGUUGGACACCGAUCCUCUGUAAAGCUCCUUCGACGAGUCGAGUAGUUUGGGAAUGCUGCUCUAAAUGGGAGGUAUAUGUCUUCUAAAGCUAAAUACCGGCCAGAGACCGAUAGCGCACAAGUAGAGUGAUCGAAAGAUGAAAAGAACUUUGAAAAGAGAGUUAAAAAGUACGUGAAAUUGUUGAAAGGGAAGCGCUUGUGACCAGACUUGGGCUUGGUUGAUCAUCCGGGGUUCUCCCCGGUGCACUCUUCCGGCUCAGGCCAGCAUCAGUUCGCCCUGGGGGAUAAAGGCUUCGGGAAUGUGGCUCUCUCCGGGGAGUGUUAUAGCCCGCUGCGUAAUACCCUGUGGCGGACUGAGGUUCGCGCAUUCGCAAGGAUGCUGGCGUAAUGGUCAUCAGUGACCCGUCUUGAAACGAUAAAAACAAAAUG
rnacentral:rRNA from 1 species